AUGCCGCCCGCCCGCCCCUUCCACCCCCCACUGCACCUCGCCGUCGCCGCCCUCCUCCUCUCCACCCUCCUCCAUGCCGCCUCCGCCGCGACGUCCCCCGAGGUGGACGCCCUCAUGGCCUUCAAGUCGUCCCUCGCCAUCCCUCCCGCGGCCGACCCGUUCUUCGCGUCCUGGGACGCCUCGGCCGCCACGCCCUGCAACUUCACCGGCGUCACGUGCCGCGGCUCCGCCGUCACCGCGCUCUCCGUACACGAUCUGAACGUCUCCGCCGAGUCCGUCCCGUUCGACGUCCUCUGCGGCUCGCUGAAGUCGCUCGCCACGCUCUCGCUCCCGUCCAACGCGCUCGCGGGGACCAUCGCCGGCGUCGACGCGUGCGUGGGGCUCCAGGAGCUCACCCUCCCCUUCAACUCCUUCUCCGGUGAGAUCCCCGACCUCUCGCCGCUCACCGGGCUCCGCACGCUCAACCUCUCCACCAACGCCUUCUCCGGCUCCUUCCCCUGGUCCGCGCUCGCCGCCAUGCCGGGCCUCCAGGCGCUCUCCGCCGGGGACAACCCGUACCUCACGCCCACCAAGUCCUUCCCGCCCGAGAUCACCAGGCUCACCAACCUCACCAAGCUCUACCUCUCCGCCGCCAACAUCGCCGGUCCCAUCCCCGCGGGCAUCGGGCGGCUCACCAGGCUCGUCGACCUCGAGCUCGCCGACAACCCCCUCACCGGCGAGAUUCCUCCGGCGAUCGCCCAGCUGGUGAAUCUCCAGAGCCUCGAGCUCUACAACUGCUCCCUCGCCGGCGCUCUCCCGCGGGGGUUCGGGAGGCUCACCAAGCUGCAGUUCUUCGACGCGUCCCAGAACCAGCUCACCGGCGGCCUCUCGGAGCUCCGAUCCCUCACGCGGCUCGUCUCGCUGCAGCUCUUCUACAACGGGCUCUCCGGAGAGGUGCCCCCCGAGUUCGGCGAAUUCAGGGAGCUCGUCAACCUGUCGCUCUACAACAACAGCCUCACCGGCGAGCUGCCGCAGAAACUGGGGAGCUGGUCGGCGCUCAACUUCAUCGACGUGUCCACCAACCUGCUCACGGGUCCGAUCCCGCCGGACAUGUGCAGGCGCGGCACCAUGCUGAAGCUGCUGAUGCUGGAGAAUCGAUUCUCCGGCGAGAUUCCGGCGACGUACGCGACCUGCACGACGCUGCAGAGGUUCAGGGUCAGCAAGAACUCGCUCACCGGCGAGGUGCCCGAGGGAAUCUGGGCGCUUCCAACAGCCGAGAUCAUCGACCUCGAGGGCAACCAGUUCACCGGUGGCAUCGGCGACGCCAUCGGGAAAGCCGCGUCGCUCACCAGUCUCCACCUCGCCGGGAACAAAUUCUCCGGCGCGAUACCCUCGUCGAUAGGCGACGCAGCGAAGCUGCAGAGCAUUGACGUGUCGUCGAACGAGCUCUACGGCGAGAUACCAGCGAGCAUCGGCAAGCUGGUCCAUCUCGAGAGCCUGGACAUCGCGGGGAACGGGAUCAGCGGAGCCAUCCCGGCGAGCCUCGGGUCGUGCUCGGCGCUCAGCACGAUGAACCUCGCCGGGAACAAGCUCACCGGCGCGAUCCCGUCGGAGCUGCGGGGCACGAGUCUGAAUUUGUUGGACAUUUCGAGCAAUGAACUCUCCGGCGCCGUGCCGGCGAUCCUCGCCGAGCUGAAGCUGAGCUACCUAAACCUGUCGGACAAUCGGCUCGACGGGCCCGUGCCGGCGGGGCUGGCCAUCUCGGCCUACGGCGAGAGCUUCCAGGGGAACCCCGGCCUGUGCGCCAACAACGGAGCCGGCUUCCUCCGCCGCUGCACGCCGGGAGACGGUGGCCGUUCGGGGAGCACCGCGCGCACGCUCGUCACCUGCCUCCUCGCCGGCAUGGCGGUCCUGCUCGCCGUCCUCGGCGUGGCGAUAUUCAUCAAGAAGCGCCGGCAGCACGCGGAGGCCGCGGCCAUGGCCGGCGCCGGCAAGCUUCUGUUCGCGAAGAAGGGGUCUUGGAACGUCAAGUCGUUCAGGAUGAUGGCGUUCGACGAGCGGGAGAUCGUGGGCGGCGUCCGGGACGAGAACCUCAUCGGCAGCGGCGGGUCCGGGAACGUGUACCGCGUGAAGCUCGGGUGCGGCACCGUGGUGGCGGUGAAGCACAUCACCCGGACCCGCGCCGCGGCGGCCGCGAGCGCCGGCCCGACGGCGGCCAUGCUGCCCCGGUCGGCGUCGGCGUCGGCGCGGCAGUGCCGCGAGUUCGACGCGGAGGUGGGCACGCUGAGCUCCAUCCGGCACGUGAACGUGGUGAAGCUGCUGUGCAGCGUGACGAGCGAGGACGGCGCGGCGAGCCUGCUGGUGUACGAGCACCUCCCCAACGGCAGCCUCUACGAGCGGCUGCACGGCCCGACCGCCAGGAAGCUGGGCGGGCUCGGCUGGCCGGAGCGGUACGAGGUGGCCGUGGGCGCCGCCCGGGGGCUGGAGUACCUCCACCACGGCUGCGGCGACCGGCCCAUCCUCCACCGCGACGUCAAGUCCAGCAACAUCCUCCUCGACGAGGCCUUCAAGCCCCGCAUCGCCGACUUCGGGCUGGCCAAGAUCCUGGACGCCGGCGGCGGCAAGCAGGGCGAGCCGUGGUCGUCGUCGGGCGGCGCGGUGGCGGGCACGGUGGGGUACAUGGCGCCGGAGUACGCGUACACGCGCAAGGUGACGGAGAAGAGCGACGUGUACAGCUUCGGCGUGGUGCUGCUGGAGCUGGCGACGGGGCGCGCGGCGGUGGCCGACGGCGAGGACGUGGUGGAGUGGGCGUCGCGGCGGCUGGACGGGGCCGGGAACGGGCGGGAGAAGGCGAUGGCGCUGCUGGACGGGUCGGCGGCGCGGGAGGAGUGGGAGAAGGAGGAGGCCGUGCGGGUGCUGCGCGUUGCGGUGCUGUGCACGAGCCGCACGCCGGCGGUGCGGCCGUCGAUGCGGUCCGUGGUGCAGAUGCUGGAGGACGCGGCCGUCGGGCGCGAGUGCUCCGGCAACGGCAAGCCCGCCCUGGAGGUCAAGGUCGUCGUCGCCUAG
rnacentral:rRNA from 1 species